rnacentral:rRNA from 1 species
GGGUGAGUAAUGUCUGGGAAACUGCCUGAUGGAGGGGGAUAACUACUGGAAACGGUAGCUAAUACCGCAUAACGUCGCAAGACCAAAGAGGGGGACCUUCGGGCCUCUUGCCAUCGGAUGUGCCCAGAUGGGAUUAGCUAGUAGGUGGGGUAACGGCUCACCUAGGCGACGAUCCCUAGCUGGUCUGAGAGGAUGACCAGCCACACUGGAACUGAGACACGGUCCAG